CGGCAAUAGCUCAAAUUUGAAAUCUGGCUUCCUUGGAGGCCCGAGUUGUAAUUUGCAGAGGGCGCUUUGGCGUCGGUAGCGGUCUAAGUUCCUUGGAACAGGACGUCACAGAGGGUGAGAAUCCCGUACGUGGUCGACUGCCUUCGCCGUGUAAAGCCCCUUCGAC
rnacentral:rRNA from 1 species